UCCCUGUCAUUGCUGCUGUUCCUGGCUUUCCAGCAGGUUUGCUCUGCAGAGAGCUGCAGGUUGGCUAUGAAAUAUGACAAAGCGUUCAUUUAAAUGCACACCAUGAUGUCGGCCCCAGUUUCUCCCCUGUCGAGGCAAACGCUUUGGCUAAUUAGCAAAACGUGUCAAAGAAAAUGAUUAAUGUCCCGGGAGGAGGCUGAGCUGCCUUUGUGCCGGCAUUGCCUGACUUCUGCUCUUAAAGGUUUUAUUAAAAGAUAAGGGAGCUCCUGACGGGGAACCUCGCGUGCUGCUGAUUCAGAAAUGAACCCGAGGAGCGGUGGGCACUGCAGGCAGCAGUGAGGAGAUGUGCAGAGCCCAGGGCUUGCAGGGCAGCUCUGGGCUGAGGGCGAGGAGCUGGGAUGCACAGCUGCUGCUGCAGAUCCCCCUGGUCAGAGCUGCCUUCCCUGGAGAACCCUUGGGCUCAGGAUAUUACCCCCUGGGGAAAUAAUCCUGUUAUUUGAAAUGUAAAAAAGAAUUCACAUGGACAACAAUGGAUUCCUAAAUGAACCCAACAACAGCCCCCAAUCCCAGUGUGGCAUCACUUGCCUCAGAUAGGGAAAAUAUUAAGUUUCUUUUAAAAAGGUUCUUGUCUCUUCUUUUUCUCUUCUCCUGCCCCAGAUCAAGAUCUUCACUGAAGACAAAUAACAGCUCGUCUCUGCAACACCCAAACAUAAGCAACUAAUUUGGACCACCGAAAGGAAAAAGGG